AAAAGAUCCUUUUGAUCCGUUUGGUUUGUCUCAAGCAAAUUCUAAUCAAGCUCCUUCUAUGAGUUUUCAAUGGAUGAGUUGAGUACUGCAAGCUGUUGAUAGCAUUCAUCAAGUUGGAAUUUACUGUCUUGCUUUAGUUUUGUCCAAUUGCUUGCCAAAAGAAGCUGGCAAUGUUGUUGAUAUAAAGUCAUGGCCUCUCUUCUUAGAUACUGAUGACAUUCCAAAAAAGAAAUUAACUAGCAUAUAUAGAGCCCCAACUCCUGAAAUGAUAACUUAUUCGGAUUUAAGUGUUAGCGCAACUGGAAUGCUAGCUGGUAUUAAGAUGUCCCAUGCAGUAUCAACCUCUUUCUGUACAAGUAUGAAACUUGCUUGUGAAUUAUAUCCAUCAAGACAUAUAGCUUUUGGCCUUGAUCCUUACUGUUGUUUAGGUUUUGCCUUAUGGUGUUUGAAUAGGUAAC